CAGAAGACUGAACAGUAAAUCAAAAUCGUUUUUGCUUGCUUCAUUAUAAUUAGGAUAACAAGCUAGUGUUGUAUAAAUGAAAAUCAGGAUACUUUGAAAGAUUUAUAAUAAUAACUCAAGAUUUUGAUUCAGCAUACUUUCAUGUGAAUUUGAAGCCUUUGGAUGUAACAUUGACGAUUGAUGAUAAAUUUUUUUCGCUACAGGCACAAUAUUGACCGCUAAGAAAAAGUGAAAGCACAUUUUAGGAGUUGUAGAAGAGCUUCAAAGGCAUAAUAUUUUUGUUAGACAAGGAGUUAAAAUGCUGUGUAUAAUCAAUUGCUUCUUUCACAAUCUAUCGCACGAAAAAAAAAACGAUAUCACAAGUCGACUUUUGAACGAUUUGGUUCAUAAGCAUUUCGUUUACGACUGAAUUUUAAUUUCUCAAAACCAUUGUGCUUUCUAUGCGCCUUUUUUAU